AACAGCACACGAUCUCUGCCUCCUCUGAAAAACAGCACACGAUCUCUGCCCCCUCUCAAAAACAGCACACGAUCUCUGUCCGUUCAUGAUUCCAGUUCCCCGGCCGAUCUUCCGUCACCGUCGCUUCUUCCCUCCCUCAUCCCAGGUCGCGCCGUAGUCAGCUAUCCACCGUUGGGAAAGGAGACCGCUUCCACCUCGAUGCCUUCGACCCGUUGCAAAUCCCGGCGCUGCGAUUCACUCGCAGCCGGCCCGACCCCCCGUCCCGCCAUGCCUUCCUCACGCACGGCCCCCGUGCUCCACACCAGCGGUGGCCGCCGGACUUACCCUCCAGAGGCGGCCUUUGCUCCUUACCCACCCUGUGCUACCCAUUCCCCAAUAAGGACAGGGUCGUUGUCUUCCGCCUCGUGUCCGACGCAAAGUGGCGUCAUCCUCGCCUUUUGACAACGAGCGGCACUGGUGGACGGGCACUGUGUAUGAUGCGGUGAGCGCGCACACAUCACCGCAGUGGUGGGUGGUGCAGAAGAUGCAUUAUAUUUGCUUCAGUCCUAGAUGGACGAAGAUGAAACCAUUGGAAGCUAAUAGGAAGACAUGGAAGAAGAUGACCAAUCUCGCUCAGAGGAUGUGUAGAAGGAAUGCUUCGACGAAGGAUCGGUCACUGAUAUGGCUCAGACCAUUGACAAAUUGGUGCUAUAUGAGGAGAGAGCCCAUAGAACUUCCUCCCAUGUGUGGUCAUGAUGAUGACCCGAUGCUGAUACCUGGUAACUUUGGCUUUCUAGAGUUGUUUUGUAUUGGAAACUUAUGAAAUCUGAGGUAAGGAAGCAUUCCCUUCGAAAUUUUAUGGACAUGGAUCCGAACCUUGGUAGAUUUGUAGCAUCAAUGCGGAAAAAAGACUUCUGGGUAGUGAAUGUAGUCCCUUUCAUGGAAUCUGGAAACUGAAAAUCAUGUAUGACCAUGGUUUGCUAGGGACAAUCUAUAAUUGGUAAGAUGUUCGUGCAAUACCUUCGUACUUUCUGUCUAUACAUUUCAUAGUCAACCUUCUUUGACGAUUAUGCAUACUUAAAUUCUUAGAAUUCUUUUUUUGGUCAAGGGAUGAUUUUAUAUUUGUAUCGAUGGUUUUAAUUGCAUAGGCAAGUAUUGAUACAUGAAACUUGUUAAUAGUGGUUAUCCAUAUGAGUGACACAUUUUGUUAUAAAGAAUACCCUGCCCUUAACUUUGGUUAACUGAUGGAGGCAUGAUAAGUUGUACUGUCAAAAUGCCCAAAGAUAUUUUUAAAAAGCCAGAAGCUUGUCUCCACAUCAGGUGCUCCUUGCCUAACAGUUCAGAUUCUUGACUAACGUCUUCCAUACUUUAUGCAUCCUAUACUACUCCUACUCCAUGUCUCCAUACAACUGACAGCUGCUUAAUAUUUUUAUUUACUUGCCUUUUGCAUUGAAGCUGCGAGUCAUUCUUGACAUACCUUGUACUUACGACCUGCUUCAUGUUUGACUCCUGUUCUCUGAGAAGGAAAAUCAGGGAUGUAGCCUGGAGGAUCUGCUGACCUCAAAUAGUGAUAUUGCGACAGGAAACUCAAGUGCCGAUGAGACUUGCUGCGGUGGCGGGCGGCCGCGCUGAGGCCAGCAUGCCGGGCGAGGUGGUCAGGUGGACUAGGUCACUAGGAAGAUGCUCAAAUCACUGUUUGACUACAUCUGCCAGGCCACUUUACCCGAAGAUGAUGCUUCCAUGUGUACCUUGUCAGAUGUCAUAAUUAAUAUUGACAAUUGAAGCACUGAGUAGGACAGCGGGAAGCUCCCCUAUACAAGUUUCAGAAUUUGUAAAAUAUAAAUUAUACAGUUGUAGGAAAUAUCAGCUAUUGAGACACCCAUACUUUUCUUAGUCUAGAUGCUGAUACAACCUCGUACUUGUAUAUUGUAAUGCACUGGAAGUGAUUCGCAUACCCAAGAAAGUUGCAGAACACAAACUUUUUUGGGCUUCUGCAGCUGAAACGUCUGAAGCUUAUGCAGACAACAUGCCAUUUUUUUUAGUUAGAUUCAAAUUGUUGGUAUAACACAAACUUUUUUGGGCUUCUACAGCUGAAACUUCUGUAUGAAA